rnacentral:rRNA from 1 species
AGUGAACGCUGGCGGUAGGCCUAACACAUGCAAGUCGAACGGCGGCACAGUAAGAGCUUGCUCUUACGGGUGGCGAGUAGCGGACGGGUGCGGAAUACAGCGGAAUGUACUUUUUCGUGGGGGAUAACGUAGGGAAACUUACGCUAAUACCGCAUACGACCUACGGGUGAAAGCAGGCGAUCUUCGGACCUUGCGCGAUUGAAUGAGCCGAUGUCGGAUUAGCUAGUUGGCGGGGGAGAGGCCCACCAAGGCGACGAUCCGUAGCUGGUCUGAGAGGAUGAUCAGCUACACUGGAACUGAGAGACGUUAGAGACUCCGACACGGGGAAGCAGUCGGGAAUAUUGCAGGAUGCGGCAGUGCCGGAUCCUGGACUACCGCCGGAGUCAAGAAGGCCCUCGGGUGCGUGAGCCAUUUUGUUGGGAAGGAAAAGCAGCAGGUUCAUCGCCCACUGUUCUGACGGUACCCAAAGAAUAAGCACCGGCUAACUUCGUG